rnacentral:tRNA from 1 species
GCCUCGAUGGCUCAGUCAGUAGAGUACGAAACUCCUGAUCUUGGGGUCGUGAGUUCAAGCCCCAUGCUGGGCA